GAUGAACGCUGGCGGCGUGCCUAAUACAUGCAAGUCGAGCGAACGGACGAGAAGCUUGCUUCUCUGAUGUUAGAGGCGGACGGGUGAGUAACUCGUCGAUAACCUACCUCUAAGACUGGGAUAACUUCGGGAAACCGGAGCUAAUACCGGAUAAUAUUUUGAACCGCAUGGUUCAAACGUGAAAGACGGUCUUGCUGUCACUUAUAGAUGGAUCCGCGCUGCAUUAGCUAGUUGGUAAGGUAACGGCUUACCAAGGCAACGAUGCAUAGCCGACCUGAGAGGGUGAUCGACCACACUGGAACUGAGACACGGUCCAGACUCCUACGGGAGGCAGCAGUAGGGAAUCUUCCGCGAUGGGCGAAAGCCUGACGGUGCAACGCCGCGUGAGUGAUGAAGGUCUUCGGAUCGGAAAACUCUGUUAUUAGGGAAGAACAUAUGUGUAAGUAACUGUGCACAUCUUGACGGUACCUAAUCAGAAAGCCACGGCUAACUACGUG
rnacentral:rRNA from 1 species